UACGUAGGGCGCAAGCGUUGUCCGGAAUUAUUGGGCGUAAAGAGCUCGUAGGCGGCUUGUCACGUCGGAUGUGAAAGCCCGGGGCUUAACUCCGGGUCUGCAUUCGAUACGGGCUGGCUAGAGUGUGGUAGGGGAGAUCGGAAUUCCUGGUGUAGCGGUGAAAUGCGCAGAUAUCAGGAGGAACACCAAUGGCGAAGGCAGAUCUCUGGGCCGUAACUGACGCUGAGGAGCGAAAGCAUGGGGAGCGAACAGG
rnacentral:rRNA from 1 species